rnacentral:rRNA from 1 species
GAUGAACGCUGGCGGCGUGCUUAACACAUGCAAGUCGAACGGAAAGGCCCCAGCUUGCUGGGGUACUCGAGUGGCGAACGGGUGAGUAACACGUGGGUGAUCUGCCCUGCACUUUGGGAUAAGCUUGGGAAACUGGGUCUAAUACCGAAUAUGACCACUUCUUGGAUGUUGUGGGGGAAAGCUUUUGCGGUGUGGGAUGAGCCUGCGGCCUAUCAGCUUGUUGGUGGGGUAAUGGCCUACCAAGGCGGCGACGGGUAUCCGGCCUGAGAGGGUGUACGGACAGAUUGGGACUGAGAUCCGGCCCAGACUCCUACGGGAGGCAGCAGUGGGGAAUAUUGCACAAUGGGCGCAAGCCUGAUGCAGCGACGCCGCGUGGGGGAUGAAGGCCUUCGGGUUGUAAACUCCUUUCGCUAUCGACGAAGCCACUUGUGGUGACGGUAGGUAGAUAAGAAGCACCGGCUAACUACGUGCCAGCAGCCGCGGUAA